GACGAACGCUGGCGGCGUGCUUAACACAUGCAGGUCGAACGGAAAGGCCAUGCUUUUGUGGGGUGCUCGAGUGGCGAACGGGUGAGUAACACGUGAGUAACCUGCCCUUGACUUUGGGAUAACUUCAGGAAACUGGGGCUAAUACCGGAUAGGAGCUCCUGCUGCAUGGUGGGGGUUGGAAAGUUUCGGCGGUUGGGGAUGGACUCGCGGCUUAUCAGCUUGUUGGUGGGGUAGUGGCUUACCAAGGCUUUGACGGGUAGCCGGCCUGAGAGGGUGACCGGCCACAUUGGGACUGAGAUACGGCCCAGACUCCUACGGGAGGCAGCAGUGGGGAAUAUUGCACAAUGGGCGGAAGCCUGAUGCAGCAACGCCGCGUGCGGGAUGACGGCCUUCGGGUUGUAAACCGCUUUCGCCUGUGACGAAGCGUGAGUGACGGUAAUGGGUAAAGAAGCACCGGCUAACUACGUG
rnacentral:rRNA from 1 species